rnacentral:rRNA from 1 species
UACGUAGGGGGCAAGCGUUGUCCGGAAUCAUUGGGCGUAAAGAGCGUGUAGGCGGCCCGAUAAGUCCGCUGUGAAAGUCCAGGGCUCAACCCUGGAAUGCCGGUGGAUACUGUCGGGCUCGAAUCCGGAAGAGGUGAGUGGAAUUCCUGGUGUAGCGGUGAAAUGCGCAGAUAUCAGGAGGAACACCAAUGGCGAUGGCAGCUCACUGGGACGGUAUUGACGCUGAGACGCGAAAGCGUGGGGAGCAGACAGG